rnacentral:pre_miRNA from 1 species
AAAAAGACAAACCCUGGUUUUCCGUGUCCAAUGUUUGAUCAUUCGUCUUAUUUAAAAAAAUUAUGAAAAAAAUUAAAAAUAAAAGUCACACAUAAAGUAUUAAUCAUAUUUUAUCAUCUAACAAUAAUGAAAAUACUAAUUAUAAAAAAAUUCAUAUAAGACGGACAGUCAAACAUUGGACACGGAAAUUCAGGAUUUGUCUUUUU